AUGGCCUCCUCAGCCAGCGUCGCUCUUAACCUUGGAUCGCCGCCGUCAGAGAAGCUCGCAAGAGGAAAUUUCAUCCUCUGGAAGACGCAUGUCCUCCCAGCCCUGCGAGGUGCGCAGGUUACUGGGCUCCUGGAUAACUCCGACGCCGCUCCGCCGAGGAUGGUGGAGGUCACGAAGGCGGACAAAACUACGGCCCUAGAGCCGAAUCCUCUGUACGGGCCCUGGAUCACCAAAGAUCAACAGGUCUUAUCAUAUCUACUCAAUUCCAUGUCUCCAGAAAUCCUUGCACAAGUCGUCGGAAAGGACUCCACCUACGAGCUCUGGACGACGGUGACAAAUCUCUUCGCCUCGCAAUCGCAGUCCCGGAUCACCAAUCUGAGGAUCGCAAUCACUAACACCAAGAAGGGCACCAUGUCGAGCUCGGUGUAUAUGGCGAAGAUGAAGAGCCUUGGGGACGAACUUGCUGCUGCUGGGCGCCCCGUCUCUGACCCGGAGAUGGUGGACUACAUCCUGGCAGGACUCGAUCGCGACUACGACUCCGUGGUGGCGGCGAUCGGCGCUGUCAAGAACACCAUCACCGCCGACGAUCUUUUUGCUCAGAUCUCCGCUUUUGAUCAGAGGAUGGAGAUGCUGGGUGAUUCGUCUUCAGGAGGAUUUCAUUCAUCGGCCAACGCAGUCUACAGAGGCCGUGGCCAGUCCCGCGGCAGACCCCGUGGGCAAGGAGGAAGGGGGCGCGGCCGUGGUGAUCGCGGUGACCGCGGUGACCGCCAGCCCUCUCCCGCAAACAGAAGCGGCGGAUUCAGAGGAUGCCCUCGACAACAACAGCAGCAUCAGGUGCGUGAACAGCAGCACGACUACCCUGAAUGUCAGAUAUGCUACAAGCACCAUCCAGGAGGCGCACGUGUUUGCUGGUGA
rnacentral:rRNA from 1 species